rnacentral:rRNA from 1 species
GCGGUGCGCGUCGGAGGACCCGGUGUAUCUUGAAUGUCAAAACGACUCUCGGCAACGGAUAUCUCGGCUCUCGCAUCGAUGAAGAACGUAGCGAAAUGCGAUACUUGGUGUUAAUUGCAGAAUCCCGUGAACCAUCGAGUCUUUGAACGCAAGUUGCGCCCGAAGCCAUUAGGCCGAGGGCACGUCUGCCUGGGCGUCACGC